rnacentral:lncRNA from 1 species
CUACAUCCACUCCUCCGAUUCCUCUUCCGUCGAGGCCACCGGCAUCCACUAAUGAUCUUCCUUUACUAGGCAAAGAUCAACCUCCUUCUUACACCCCUCUUACAACCUCUUACAAGUGGUUCACCUUUUUACAAAGAUUUCAAUGAAAAGAAAGGAGGUGAACACUCAAGCUAUUGAAAACAAGACUUUUCCUAAAGCUUU